rnacentral:rRNA from 1 species
GUGGGGAAUAUUGCACAAUGGGCGCAAGCCUGAUGCAGCGACGCCGCGUGGGGGAUGACGGCCUUCGGGUUGUAAACUCCUUUCGUCAGGGACGAAGCGAAAGUGACGGUACCUGGAUAAGAAGCACCGGCUAACUACGUGCCAGCAGCCGCGGUAAUACGUAGGGUGCGAGCGUUGUCCGGAAUUACUGGGCGUAAAGAGCUCGUAGGUGGUUUGUCGCGUCGUUUGUGUAAGUCCACGGCUUAACUGUGGGAUGGCAGGCGAUACGGGCAUAACUUGAGUGCUGUAGGGGAGACUGGAAUUCCUGGUGUAGCGGUGAAAUGCGCAGAUAUCAGGAGGAACACCGAUGGCGAAGGCAGGUCUCUGGGCAGUAACUGACGCUGAGGAGCGAAAGCAUGGUUAGCGAACAGGA